GAUGAACGCUGGCGGCGUGCUUAACACAUGCAAGUCGAACGAUGAAGCCCAGCUUGCUGGGUGGAUUAGUGGCGAACGGGUGAGUAACACGUGAGUAACCUGCCCUUAACUCUGGGAUAAGCCUGGGAAACUGGGUCUAAUACCGGAUAGGAGCGUCCACCGCAUGGUGGGUGUUGGAAAGAUUUAUCGGUUUUGGAUGGACUCGCGGCCUAUCAGCUUGUUGGUGAGGUAAUGGCUCACCAAGGCGACGACGGGUAGCCGGCCUGAGAGGGUGACCGGCCACACUGGGACUGAGACACGGCCCAGACUCCAACGGGAGGCAGCAGUGGGGAAUAGUGCACAAUGGGCGCAAGCCUGAUGCAGCGACGCCGCGUGGGGGAUGACGGCAUUCGGGUUGUAAACCUCUUCCAGUAGGGAAGAAGCGAAAGUGACGGUACCUGCAGAAGAAGCACCGGCUAACUACGUG
rnacentral:rRNA from 1 species